rnacentral:rRNA from 1 species
UUGUCCUGUGACUGCGUACCUUUUGUAUAAUGGGUCAGCGACUUAUAUUCAGUGGCAAGGUUAACCAUCUAGGGGAGCCGUAGGGAAACCGAGUCUUAACUGGGCGUUCAGUCUCUGGAUAUAGACCCGAAACCAGGUGAUCUAGCCAUGGGCAGGUUGAAGGUUGAGUAACAUCAACUGGAGGACCGAACCGACUAAUGUUGAAAAAUUAGCGGAUGACUUGUGGCUAGGGGUGAAAGGCCAAUCAAACCUGGAGAUAGCUGGUUCUCCCCGAAAGCUAUUUAGGUAGCGCCUCGGACGAAUACUACUGGGGGUAGAGCAGGGAAACGAUGUGGGAAGGCUCAGACAGCCAGGAUGUUGGCUUAGAAGCAGCCAUCAUUUAAAGAAAGCGUAAUAGCUCACUGGUCGAGUCGGCCUGCGCGGAAGAUGUAACGGGGCUAAGUAGUAAACCGAAGCUGCGGCAAU